CCAGCAGCCGCGGUAAUUCCAGCUCCAAUAGCGUAUACUAAAGUUGUUGCAGUUAAAAAGCUCGUAGUUGGAUUUGUGGUGUGUCCUGUCGGUGUCCCCUCAUUGAGGGGUCUUACUGUACGGGUCUGCCAUGUUUGGGUGGAAUCUGUGUGGCAUUAGGUUGUCGCGCAGGGGAUGCCCAUCGUUUACUGUGAAAAAAUUAGAGUGUUCAAAGCAGGCUUAUGCCGUUGAAUAUGUUAGCAUGGAAUAAUGAUAUAGGACCUUGGUACUAUUUUGUUGGUUUGCGCACUGAGGUAAUGAUUAAUAGGGACAGUUGGGGCUAUUCGUAUUCCAUUGUCAGAGGUGAAAUUCUUGGAUUUCUGGAAGACGAACUACUGCGAAAGCAUUUAGCAAGGAUGUUUUCAUUAAUCAAGAACGAAAGU
rnacentral:rRNA from 1 species